rnacentral:rRNA from 1 species
GACGGAGGAUGCAAGCGUUAUCCGGAAUUAUUGGGCGUAAAGCGUCCGCAGGUGGCUGUUCAAGUCUGCUGUCAAAGCGCAGAGCUUAACUCUGUACAGGCGGUGGAAACUGAAGAGCUAGAGUAUGGUAGGGGUAGAGGGAAUUCCCGGUGUAGCGGUGAAAUGCGUAGAUAUCGGGAAGAACACCAGUGGCGAAAGCGCUCUACUGGGCCAUAACUGACGCUGAGGCACGAAAGCGUGGGUAGCAAACAGG